CAACUACUCCCUCCGUUCCAAAUUACUUGUCAAAGAAAUGGAUGUAUCUAGAACUAAAACACAUCUAGAUACAUCCAUACCUGCGACAAGUAAUUCGGGACGGAGGGAGUACAAG
rnacentral:pre_miRNA from 1 species